CGUUUUUAGAUUAGAAUAAAAGAUUGGUUCUGCUCAAUGAUUAAAAUUAAAUAGCCGCAGUAAAUUGACUGUGCAAAGGUAGCAUAAUAAUUAGUUUAUUGAUUGUAAACUUGAAUGAAUGAAUUGACGAGGAAAACACUGUCUCUAUAUUAAGUUUUGAAUUUGACUUUUGAGUUAAAAGGCUCAAGUGAGUCUAUGGGACGAGAAGACCCUAUAGAACUUAAUUUUAUUUAAUUUUAAAUUUAUUUGUUUUGAAGGAUUAAAUUUUAAUUGUGAUUUAAUUGGGGUGAUUUGAAGAUAAAUUUAACUUUUUAAUUUAAUACAUUGAUUUAUGAUUUUUUGAUCUUUGAUUUUGAUUAAAAGAAAAGUUACCUUAGGGAUAACAGCAUAAUUUUUUUGGAGAGUUCAAAUCAAUAAAGAAGUUUGUGACCUCGAUGUUGAAUUAAGAUAAAUAUUAGGUGCAGAAGUUUAAAUAUUAGGUCUGUUCGACCUUUAAAAUCUUACA
rnacentral:rRNA from 1 species